UACGGAGGGUGCGAGCGUUGUUCGGAAUCACUGGGCGUAAAGGGCGUGUAGGCGGUCCGCUAAGUCUGAUGUGAAAGCCCGGGGCUCACCCCCGGAAGUGCAUUGGAAACUGGCGGACUCGAGUCCCGGAGAGGAGAGUGGAAUUCCUGGUGUAGCGGUGAAAUGCGUAGAUAUCAGGAGGAACACCGGUGGCGAAGGCGGCUCUCUGGACGGUGACUGACGCUGAGGAGCGAAAGCGUGGGGAGCAAACAGG
rnacentral:rRNA from 1 species